rnacentral:lncRNA from 1 species
AUUGAAACUAGCUGUCACUCCAAAUCUAACAUAAUUAAAGUUAUGUUUGUCACAUGAUUAGGAUUUGCAAAAUAACUAGAAUGAUUGGAAAUAGCCCAACACCCCUACAACGUGCUCAAAUUGCUAUUGAAAACUAAGUAAAUCAUGAAGUAAAAUGGGAGCGAACCUUUACUGAACACGUCGAGGAUUUCUUUUCUAAGUGGAAGCAAGCAAAAUCAUUUGGAUUUAAUGAGGGGACAAUCCUCUCGAUAUGCCAUCUCAUAAGUACUAUGCCGCCCUAAUGGAGAGAUGUGGCUUACUUCAUGAGGGAUCUGAAUUAUGGGCUGUAUUCGCAAGAAAAAUGGGAUAUGAUCAAUUUUAAGGGAUAUUGUCAAGAUAUCAUAAUCCUAUGGAACAAGAGCUAGUGCAAAAGCUCGAGGCCGAGCUUAAACCGAAACCAAAGCUAGAGGAAGAACUUGAUGAAGACCCAGAGGAAGAGCCUGAAGAGGACCUAGAAAAGGAAUCGAAUUAGAGCCGGAAGAACCUGAGCAAGAUUUUGAGCCACAAAAUUUCAUUGAUUUAGUUACAGAUUUUGAGCCAGAGUCAUGCAUUACUUCAGACGAUAAGACUCCACCAAAAUUAGAUUCUUAAGACUAAAAAAAAUAAAUAAAAUUAGAAAGAGAUGUUAUUUGCUUACUUAGGAAAGGGUGUUUUUUUUUUUCUUUUUUUGGGUAUUAUUUUUUAAAACAAAAUACUAUAUGAAAGAUUUGGAAAUUUUUAAAUUUUUCGCCAUUAUAAAAAAAAUAUUAUUCUUAUUAUGGUUAUUUUUGUGUUAUUAAAUAUUUCUAAUUUAAAAUUUUAUUUGUGUUAAGAAAAUGACAAGACAACAACAAAACUAAGGUACAGUUAUUAGGGAUUUGUUGAGGGCUGUACAAGAUCUGGGUAGACAACAAGUACAACUUUGUUCCCAAAAUGCAAACAAUACCAGCUCAAUUGUGGAAUAGUUCCGUCGUUAUAAACCUCCAACCUUCGAUGGUAAGGUAGACCCAUUCGAAUCUUCAAAUAUCUAUCUUGCACUGAUACUCAGAAGGUAUUAUGUGCAAAAUUCAUGUUAGUUGAUGAUGCAGGCCACUGGUGGGAGUCAGUAUCGUGAACGAGAAAAGAGUUACAACAACGUGCUCUGAUUUGAACACAAUUUAAGGACGAGAUGAUGUGAAAAUACUUCCCACAAGCUCUGAGAGAUCGAAAAGAGACAUAAUUUCACUAUGGUGUGGCUGAAUGUAGAGCAAUCCGCCCUCACAGUCCUUCAACUUAAAUAGGGAAAGAUGCAGUUUGAAGAUUAUGAGAGAAAGUUUGAACAACUCUUUAGGUACGCAUCAUGCCUAGUGGACAGAGCAGCAAAGAAAGCAAGGAAGUUCGAGUUAGGAUUGCGCCUUGAGAUUGGUGGAAUAAUGGCAUCCCAUCAAUUUACCACAUAUAGCCGACUAUUGUAGACUGCCCAAGCAAUCUCAAAUAGAUUGGAAAUUGACCAAACUCCUCAACAAGGGGUUGAGCCUUCAGGAAAGAGGAAAUGGAAUGGGUCCAAUGAAAAGAAAAGAGAAGGACUAAACAAAAAGGUAAAUUUCGAAUCAAAUUUUGGACAAGUCGUUUCACCCUGCCCAAAGUGUAACAAAAUGUAUAGGGGUGAAUAUCUCUUUGAGAAGCAUUUGUGCUAUCGAUUGGCUAAUACAGGGUAUAUUUUCAAAAACUGCAAAGAGGACUUUUUGAAGAAGAAUGACGAGCCAGAAAAGAAGGAAAAGACCAGAGUUUUCACUUUAACCUAAGGACAGGCCACGAAAAAUCCGAAUGCAGGUAAUUUCGAUGACGAAAUUCUCUUAAAGGGUAAAUUGUAGCAACCCGAAAAAAAUAAUAAUAGAAUAAGAAAAAAAGAAUUUGUUUGUUAUAUUAUUUUAAAAGUUGG